AUACGUAGGGAGCGAGCGUUGUCCGGAAUUACUGGGCGUAAAGGGCGCGUAGGCGGCGCUUCAAGUCGUCUGUCAAAUGGGAGGGCUUAACCCUUUUUCGCAGACGAAACUGUGGCGCUGGAGAAGCAGAGAGGCAAACAGAAUUCCUGGUGUAGCGGUGAAAUGCGUAGAUAUCAGGAAGAAUACCAGUGGCGAAGGCGGUUUGCUGGCUGCAUACUGACGCUGAAGCGCGAAAGCCAGGGGAGCAAACGGGAUUAGAUACCCCGGUAGUCCUGGCAGUAAACGAUGUAUGCUGGGUGUGGGAGUAGCGAUACCUCCGUGCCGAAGUUAACGCGAUAAGCAUACCGCCUGGGGAGUACGGUCGCAAGAUUGAAACUCAAAGGAAUUGACGGGG
rnacentral:rRNA from 1 species